rnacentral:rRNA from 1 species
GGGGAAUCUUGCGCAAUGGGCGCAAGCCUGACGACGCAACGCCGCGUGGAGGAUGAAGGUCUUCGGAUUGUAAACUCCUGUUGCCCGGGACGAACGGCUCCGACCUAAUACGUUGGAGUUUGACGGUACCGGGUGAGGAAGCCCCGGCUAACUCUGUGCCAGCAGCCGCGGUAAUACAGAGGGGGCAAGCGUUGUUCGGAAUUACUGGGCGUAAAGGGCGCGUAGGCGGCCUUCUAAGUCGAACGUGAAAUCCCUGGGCUCAACCCAGGAACUGCGUCCGAUACUGGGAGGCUUGAAUCCGGGAGAGGGAUGCGGAAUUCCAGGUGUAGCGGUGAAAUGCGUAGAUAUCUGGAGGAACACCGGUGGCGAAGGCGGCAUCCUGGACCGGCAUUGACGCUGAGGCGCGAAAGCCAGGGGAGCAAAC